rnacentral:rRNA from 1 species
UACGGGGGGGGCAAGCGUUGUUCGGAAUUACUGGGCGUAAAGGGCGCGUAGGCGGCUUGGCAAGUGGAAGGUGAAAUCCCUCGGCUUAACCGAGGAACUGCCUUCCAGACUGCUUUGCUUGAGGCCGGGAGAGGCGAGUGGAAUUCCCAGUGUAGCGGUGAAAUGCGUAGAUAUUGGGAGGAACACCAGUGGCGAAGGCGGCUCGCUGGACCGGUUCUGACGCUGAGGCGCGAAAGCGUGGGGAGCAAACGGG